UUUCCGUAGGUGAACCUGCGGAAGGAUCAUUACUGAGUGAGGGCCCCUCGGGGUCCAACCUCCCACCCGUGUUUAACGAACCUUGUUGCUUCGGCGGGCCCGCCUCACGGCCGCCGGGGGGGCAUCUGCCCCCGGGCCCGCGCCCGCCGAAGCCACCUGUGAACGCUGUCUGGAGUAUGCAGUCUGAGACAAUUAUUAAAUUAAUUAAAACUUUCAACAACGGAUCUCUUGGUUCCG
rnacentral:misc_RNA from 1 species